UACGAAGGGUGCUAGCGUUGUUCGGAAUUACUGGGCGUAAAGCGCACGUAGGCGGCUUUGUAAGUUAGAGGUGAAAGCCCGGAGCUCAACUUCGGAAUUGCCUUUAAGACUGCAUCGCUUGAAUCAUGGAGAGGUCAGUGGAAUUCCGAGUGUAGAGGUGAAAUUCGUAGAUAUUCGGAAGAACACCAGUGGCGAAGGCGACUGACUGGACAUGUAUUGACGCUGAGGUGCGAAAGCGUGGGGAGCAAACAGG
rnacentral:rRNA from 1 species